CAGAUUUGCUGGGGGAGCUGGACCGGCUGAGAGAUUUCGCCAAAGGCGGGAUGACCCCUCGAACCUGUUGGAUAAUGCCAGCGGAGGAAAGCAAAUCGAAAAGAGU
rnacentral:ncRNA from 2 species